rnacentral:hammerhead_ribozyme from 1 species
GCACUGACGAGGAGUCCCAUAAUAGGACGAAAUGGCCAUCCAAUGC